UACAGAGGGUGCAAACGUUGCUCGGAAUUACUGGGGCGUAAAGCGCGUGUAGGCGGUUUCGCGAGUCCGAUGUGAAAGCCCGGGGCUCAACCCCGGAAGUGCAUUGGAUACUACGAGCUUGAGUGCUGGAGAGGAAAGGCGGAAUUCCCGGUGUAGAGGUGGAAAUUCGUAGAUAUCGGGAGGAAACACCAGUGGCGAAGG
rnacentral:rRNA from 1 species